GCGGGUGUAGCUCAAUGGUAGAGCGCUGGCUUCCCAAGCCAGUAAUGUGGGUUCGAUUCCCAUCAUCCGCUCCA
rnacentral:tRNA from 1 species